rnacentral:rRNA from 1 species
CCUAAUACAUGCAAGUCGAACGAGAUCUUCGGAUCUAGUGGCGCACGGGUGCGUAACGCGUGGGAAUCUGCCCUUGGGUUCGGAAUAACGUCGGGAAACUGACGCUAAUACCGGAUGAUGACGUAAGUCCAAAGAUUUAUCGCCCAGGGAUGAGCCCGCGUAGGAUUAGCUAGUUGGUGGGGUAAAGGCCUACCAAGGCGACGAUCCUUAGCUGGUCUGAGAGGAUGAUCAGCCACACUGGGACUGAGACACGGCCCAGACUCCUACGGGAGGCAGCAGUAGGGAAUAUUGGACAAUGGGGGCAACCCUGAUCCAGCAAUGCCGCGUGAGUGAUGAAGGCCUUAGGGUUGUAAAGCUCUUUUACCAGAGAUGAUAAUGACAGUAUCUGGGGA